AGACCAACCAAACACGCCACCCCUCCCCUGUCAUUUUCAAUUUUCUACCCUUCCCACACAAUCCUUCUUCUUCUCUCUUCAUUUCCUCUUUCUUUUUUUUAUCUCUUCUGCUACCUUUGAUUUCAAAACCCUAUUUUUCUCUCUUCACUUCUUCCUUCUGCAUUUCUUCUUCUCUAAAGAAAUCAAAGAACGAUGAACGGGUACCAAUCGGAAUAGGGGAUACGGCGGCAGAUCUGGCGUUUUCAGCGAUUUUACGGCGGUAGAUCUGGCGUUUUCAGCGAUUUUACGGCGGUGUCUGGUUUCGCGAUGGUGGAUCUGUCCUAAAGCUCCAAAAAUUUUGCACAUAUUUUAUGUAUAUAUUAAUUGGUAUUUUAUAUGUGCAGAUUUUAGGGUUUCUAUCUAUUCGUAUAUUUGCACAUUUUAGGUGUGAAAUUUUGUCAAUCGGAAACACUUGGAAGUGGAAAAUUAAUGGAAGUUUCAUCUUCUUCCCAACCUAUGAAGAAGAGUCGUAGAGGACCAAGGUCAAGAAGUUCAUAGUAUAGAGGAGUUACUUUUUUUUACUGAAGAACAGGUCGAUGGGAAUCUCAUAUGUGGGAUUGUGAAAAACAAGUGUAUCUGGGUUGUUGAAGUGCCUAAUUGUAGCUGGGAAGAUAUCGGUGGUCUCGAAAAUGUUAAGAGGGAACUCUAAGAGACUGUUCAAUAUCCAGUGGAACACCCUGAAAAGUUUGAGAAAUUUGGCACGUCGCCUUCAAAGGGAAUUCUUUUCUAUGGUCCUCCUGGUUGUGGUAAAACACUUUUGGUAAAAGCUAUUGCCAAUGAAUGCCAGGCAAACUUCAUCAGUAUCAAAGGUCCUGAGAUGCUCACAAUGUGGUUUGGAGAAAGUGAGGCAAAUGUGAGGGAAAUUUUUGACAAGGCCCGUGGUUCUGCUCCAUGUGUCCUAUUCUUUGACGAGCUUGACUUCAUUGUAACUCAGAGAGGUAGUAGUGUAUGAGAUGCUGAGGGUGCAGCUAACAGGGUUUUGAACCAGCUGCUAACAGAAAUGGAUGGGAUGUCAGCAAAGAAAACUGUGUUCAUCAUUGGUGCUACUAACCGACCUGACAUUAUAGAUCCAGCUCUUCUGCGUCCAGGGCGUCUAGACCAGUUGAUUUAUAUCCCUCUCACAGAUGAAGAUUCCCGUCGUCAGAUAUUUAAAGCUUGCUUGAGAAAAUCCCCCAUCUCAAAAGAUAUCGAUAUUAGAGCUCUUGCAAAGUACACCCAAAGCUUUAGUGGUGCUGAUAUUACUGAGAUUUGCCAGCGUGCAUGCAAGUAUGCCAUUAGAGAGAAUAUUGAAAAGGGAGCAACUGACCAGAAACUUUCUAAUGGAGAACUCGCCAACAAGAUCGAGAAGAGUAUUGAAAGUGAUAAUGUAAACAGGGAAGAAAAUGUGACUGGAUGUUGCCAGGGUGUUAAUGGGGUUUGUUGUUGCAGUUUUUCAAGUCCUGCACAAAACAACAAGACUAAAGAGAGAAAAAUCAGCUAGAAUUAGCCCUACAUUGAAGGAGAGUGAUGUUCUCACAGUUGUUGGUGUGCUUGAAGAUGUGGCGGCUGUUGUUGUGGCUUACAAACAUUACAGAAGGUCGGGAUGAAUUAAGCUAUAAUAAUGUCUUCUAACAUAAGGAUGGUCCACAUCGGCAGAAGCCGAAAAAGAACAAUGCACUCGAGGCUUCUGAAAGUAUGAGAAGUAAAAAGAUAUCUGCUAGAUGGGAUCCAGUUGAAGCAUGUCGGCCUUUAAUAGACGAAGCACCGUGGCCUUUAAUAGAUGGGAUACAGUCGAAGCAUGUUAACGCGAAUUUCGAUUUGAUGUCAGAAUCACAGUUUGCCCCUUUUUAGUCUCAAAAAGAUCACAAUGCCGCAAUGAUUUUGGCUAACUCGCUAUGAAUCCAAAUAGCAUGUACUGUUUACUUCAGUUUUUCUAUAAAGGUGGGAUACAUAACUUUCCUAACGUGUGCCAGAUUAUCUUCAAACACCAGAGGAGAGCAGUUCGGUCGGAAGUGAGUAUGAAGAUGAUAAAGGCAUGGAGAAAGAUUUUAGUGUGGAUGCAUUUCAUGGUCACCCUAUGAUUCCAGAUGAGGAUAUUUCUUUUGCUAAUUCAGCUUAAAUUCCAAAUGAUAAGGUGGAUUUAACAGAAAGCAGCGGUCAGCUAACGUUGGUUGAAGAUUCUGGACCAGGUGCUACAAAAGAUAUAUCUGACAGGCAUGAAUUGCAGGUUGAUGUUACUAAUGCUGUUUUUGAUAAUGAGAUUAACUUUCUGCUUCUUCUUCUGAAACGAUUGAUUUUUUAAAUGAUCACAAUCAAGUAAAGAUGGUUGCUGGAGCAGUUGACUCACCCUCUCAAACGAAGAUGGUUAAUGUAAAAAGAGGCCUUAUUGAUACCGCACCUCCAUUUGAAUCUGUGAAGGAAGUUGUUUCUAAGUUUGAAGGAAUUAUUGAUUGGAAGGAUCAUAGAAUCCAGACUGUGGAGGUAUAUUUGUCUGCAUUUUUUUUCGUGUGAUCAUCAUUUUCAAUUUACAUUCUUCACAUUUCUUGCAUGAAGUUUAUACAAUAUCUAUUAGAAAAUAGGUAAGAGGCAAAUGUUGUUAUGGGGGAGAAAAAGAAGACCAAUUGUCUUCACUUUAGUAUCAAGUUGGUUAUUAGUGGUAAUUGCUGUAGUUUUUCUACAACUGCAAUACUAAUAGGUUAAGAGGAUUGCUUUGGUGACUGUUUGCAUGUUGGUAUGUUGAUAAUAAUUAUUGUAUAAACUUAUUAUGAGGCAUGCGUGCAUAUAGCAUAAAAGAGACGAAGUCCAUGAAGCACGAAGUCCAUCACCAACUAGAACACACUCGCCAAACGCAAUAAAGCGUUUAAGGAAUCCCAAAACGCCUCAACAAAACUAUUGGACUUAAAAAAAAGAAGCUGAUGAUGUAGCAACAUUCUUCACGCGACAAUCGACGCCUAAUCUCCCAGCUUCGAUGUCUCCAGCUAUGGCAUAAACAUCGCUUGGCUCUCUAUUAUUGCUCACUGCAACAGACACAAGACAUGUAUCAUUUAGUGCCAUUAAUUUAUCGUAGAUGCCAUUAAUUUCACAUUUUUUUUGUGUGGUUUGAUUUCAGUUUUUGUUUUCCGGUGUUGAUUGCUUUUCUGAAAGUGUAGACAUCAAGAUCUUCUAUUAAGGAUCUGUGAUAAUUAUUUGUAAAGUUUUCUUUGGAUAUACUUCAUGAUUUUGAUAAUUGAUUCAUGUAUCUAAUCCGUUUUGCAUAGUUAGGUCUUGAUAUCUAAGUCUUGAUACAAUGGACAUGGACAGAGAACAAUUACAGGAUACCAAAACUAAAAACUCUCCUUGUCUUUAUAUUUUUUUUAUUUGUCACUGUAAAAUAUAUAUGUACAUGUAUCAUUUAGUGUUUAGUACACGUAAUGCAUGUUGGUUUGCAGUCUGAAUUUGGAGAUAUUGGAGAUGAGUGUCUGGAUAUAUUGAGAUAUUGGAGAUGAGUGCUUCUGCGGAGUGAACUACUUAACAUGGUUUAAAGGAGAUGUAGAUAGUCAUCUUUGGGUCGUUGAGUUGUAUAUUUUGUUGCUAUGCUAAGAUUUGAAUAUUUCAAAAUCA